rnacentral:lncRNA from 1 species
AGAUUUCACGCACUUUCGAUAUUGUUUUAUAUCCAUCUAGUGAACAGAAAAAUGAAUGGCUGAAAAUGAAUAUUCUUUAAAAAAUGAUGAUAGGAGUCUUGUAAUCAAGAUCAAGAGUAUAGAUCUUGUUUUAAAUAGUUUAAAGAAUUUUCUAACAAAAAUUCAAUUGAUUUGGAUAUCUUUACACCGUUAAACGAGAAAACGUCUCUUAUCCACCAUUAAAAUUACAAAUUUUGAAACCCUUUGAUCAUUAGGCAAAUGAUGUCGAAAAAAUUUGAAAUUUGAUUUCUAAACACUUCAACUGGUAUAAAUCAUGUUCAACAGAGCCGAUCGUCAAUUUGGAAGCUCUAUCAUCGAAAACAACUCGAGAGUAAACGGACUCGUUUACUCUCGAGAGUAUUCUAGCUCAACUCUAUAUAUAUAUAUAUAUAUAUUAAAGAGGGAGAGAGAGAGGAU